rfam:HIV-1 isolate 93TSPIC1015b2 from TSA gag pseudogene, partial sequence.
GGCCAGGGGGAAAAAAGUGUUAUAAAUUAAAACAUAUAAUAUAGGCAAGCAAGGAGCUAGAACGAUUCGCAGUUAACCCUGGCC